rnacentral:rRNA from 1 species
GAUUCUGGCUCAGGACGAACGCUGGCGGCGUGCUUAACACAUGCAAGUUGAACGGUAUGACAUGGAAGCUUGCUGAAGUGUCAUAUAGUAGCGGACGGGUGAGUAAUGCAUGAGAAGCUGCCAUUGGGAGGGGGACAACAGUUGGAAACGGCUGCUAAUACCCCGUAUGCCGGAGGGUGAAAGGGAGUAAUCCGCCCGAUGAGGUGCUCAUGUCCUAUCAGCUGGUUGGUGGGGUAACGGCCUACCAAGGCGACGACGGGUAGCCGGCCUGAGAGGGUGAACGGCCACACUGGAACUGAGAUACGGUCCAGACUCCUACGGGAGGCAGCAGUGGGGAAUAUUUGGGGCAAUGGGGGCAACCCUGACCCAGCGACGCCGCGUGGGGGAAGACGGCCUUCGGGUUGUAAACCUCUUUUGUACGGGAAGAAGGAAGUGACGGUACUGUACGAAUAAGUCCCGGCUAACUACGUGCCAGCCGCGGC